GAUGAAGAACGUAGCGAAAUGCGAUAAGUAAUGUGAAUUGCAGAAUUCAGUGAAUCAUCGAAUCUUUGAACGCACAUUGCGUCCGCCAGUAUUCUGGCGGGCAUGCCUGUUCGAGCGUCAUUUCAACCAUCAAGCCCCCGGCUUGUGUUGGGGACCUGCGGCUGCCGCAGGCCCUGAAAACCAGUGGCGGGCUCGCUAGUCACUCCGAGCGUAGUAAUACAUCUCGCUCAGGGCGUGCUGCGGGUUCCGGCCGUUAAAAGCCUUAUUUACCCAAGGUUGACCUCGGAUCAGGUAGGAAGACCCGCUGAACUUAAGCAUAUCAAUAAGCGGAGGA
rnacentral:misc_RNA from 1 species